UACGUAGGGGCCGAGCGUUGUCCGGAUUCAUUGGGCGUAAAGAGCGUGUAGGCGGCCGCUUAAGUCCUGCGUGAAAUCUCGGAGCUCAACUCCGAGCGGUCGUGGGAAACUGGGCGGCUAGAGUGCGGGAGAGGAGAGUGGAAUUCCAGGUGUAGCGGUGAAAUGCGUAGAUAUCUGGAGGAACACCGGUGGCGAAGGCGGCAUCCUGGACCAAUUCUGACGCUGAGUGAGCGAAAGCCAGGGGAGCAAACGGG
rnacentral:rRNA from 1 species